UGAGAAGGCAAAGGACUGACUGA
rnacentral:piRNA from 1 species